rnacentral:lncRNA from 1 species
GAAGGGGGCAUUUGAGUGUAGUGGUUUCACGCAAAGACCCAGGUCCCUGAAAGCCAUGUUCCUAUCCUGCAAUGUUGCUCACGAGUGCUCUUAGCCUCCAUAUUUUUGAGCCUCAGUUUAUUUAACUGUGAACUGGGGAUACUAAUCCCUACCACAUGGGGUUGUGAGGACUGGCUGUUGCAUGCCUUGGAAUGCCUUGCUUUGCUCUUUUCCUGGAAUAUCUUGAUGUUCAGUGCUGGUGCAAACUUAUUUAUACAAGUGGCAGGAGUCUUACUUCAUCUCUUUCCUGCUUUAUCCAUCUGCUUGAUGGCACUGAAAGUUCUGUCCAUUCUAACCAUGCUAAUUGCUUAAAGAUCAGUUGGGAUGCUCAUGUAAAAAGCACACAAUUGGUUCCCACCCUGUUUUCUUCCCUUUUUUUAAUACUAAAGAUUAAACCCAGAAGCAUUCUAUCCCUAAGCUACAUCCCCAGCCCAGUCCUUUGUAUUUUGAGACAGGGUCUUACCAAGUUGUUGAGGCUGAUCUUGAACUGGAGAUCAUCCUACCUCAGCCUCCUGAGUCACUGGGAUUACAGGUGUGCCACCUUUUUUCCUUUUUGUAUAAUUCUGUGGGUUUGAGUAUCUUCACAGAGUACACAGUCAUCACCACUAACAGACUAUUUCCAUCACCACAGAAAGAAUCCUUGUAACCACUGGUCUCAGCUCCCCCACCCUGAACUGCUAACUCCGAAUCUGUUUCUCUAGAUUUUAUUUAUCUGCACAGGUGGGGGGUCUGGGGAGCUGGUGGGUGCUAUAAAAGUCCUGAAGUGCUAUAAGCCUAAUCACAGCAUCAGUCCUAUGGCUACAGAGUAGCUGGUGACGCAGAGCCCCAGAGAGGAGCCCAAUAGUUCUGGCCAUGGACUUGAGCCUGGAGAGGGGAAAGGGUACGUUACUAAUUACAGAGUGAAGAGGGAUGUGUGGUCACUAUGAGAAUGGAAGAGUUCUGAAACUGGAAUCAGGCCCAUAGAGCUCCCACCCUCCACCCUCCACCUGCUGGAUUCAACUGACCAUUCAACCUCUGACCCUCGAUUCUUCACCCAGAAGCAGAAGUUACCUGGUUUCUGGGGGUACAGCUCUGAAUACCCAGAAGAUGAGAUUGUGUCCAGUGAGGGCUCUGAGUCAAUUCUAUAUGUCACAGAGCAUGUAGUUUGAUCUGUUGUAAAUAAUGCCAUAAAAGUGCUACGGAUAUUUAUACCUGGUAUUGGGACAGAAAAGGUUUGUUGUCUAAGCUUUGAAGUUGG